AGUAAAUAGAUACCCGGGUAGUCCACGCCGUAAACGAUGAGUACUAGGUGUAGGAGGUAUCGACUCCUUCUGUGCCGCAGUUAAACACAAUAAGUACUCCGCCUGGGAAGUACGGUCGCAAGAUUAAAACUCAAAGGAAUUGACGGGGGCCCGCACAAGCAGCGGAGCAUGUGGUUUAAAUUCGAAGCAACGCGAAGAACCUUACCUAGACUUGACAUCUCCUGAAUAGUGUAGAGAUACAUGAAGCCCUUCGGGGCAGGAAGACAGGUGGUGCAUGGUUGUCGUCAGCUCGUGUCGUGAGAUGUUGGGUUAAGUCCCGCAACGAGCGCAACCCUUAUUACUAGUUGCUACCAUUAAGUUGAGCACUCUAGUGAGACUGCCCGGGUUAACC
rnacentral:rRNA from 1 species